rnacentral:rRNA from 1 species
CAGGAUGAACGCUAGCUACAGGCUUAACACAUGCAAGUCGAGGGGCAGCAUGGUCUUAGCUUGCUAAGACUGAUGGCGACCGGCGCACGGGUGAGUAACGCGUAUCCAACCUGGCCCAUAGUAGGAACAGCCCGGCGAAAGUCGGAUUAAUGCCCUAUGUUAUCCGUAGACGGCAUCAGAUGCGGAGCAAAGAUUUAUCGCUAUGGGAUGGGGAUGCGUCUGAUUAGGUAGUAGGCGGGGCAACGGCCCACCUAGCCGACGAUCAGUAGGGGUUCUGAGAGGAAGGUCCCCCACAUUGGAACUGAGACACGGUCCAAACUCCUACGGGAGGCAGCAGUGAGGAAUAUUGGUCAAUGGGCGUGAGCCUGAAACCCAGCCAAGUAGCGUGAAGGAAGACGGCCCUACGGGUUGUAAACCUCUUUUGCCGGGGAAUAAAGUGCGGGACGCGUCCCGUUUUGUAUGUACCCGGAGAAUAAGGACCGGCUAAUUCCGUGCCAGCAGCUGC